AGUAAGCAGUCCGAAAAAACAAGCAAAAUCUAUAAAUAAAAAUAUUAAAAAAUUAUCCUUCGUUAAAAAUGGAGGCAAAUAAGCUUGUAAUUGUAUUUCUUAUGUGCAUAGUUGUGAUGUCAACUGUGCACAACACCACUGCUGAACUUUUCAAGGGCUGCUACGACGAAUGUGUCAAGGACUGUACCGAAUCUAUUUGUAGAAAUAAAUGUGAGAUCGAAUGUGAUUGUCUGGAUAAUAGAGAAAAAUUGAAUAGUCUCAAGCCUUCGAAUUAAACCAAUGACGUGGGGAAUCACCUCCACAAGGAGAUGGGGAAAAAUGAAGAAAAAAAGAGUGCACAUUCUUUAUCAAUUAAUUUACUCAUUAAUUCUCUUUUUACUGCUCUUGUAAUGCAAAAAUUUAAUAAAAGUUUUACUUUGAUUUAUUAUUUCAUAAA